AAGUCGUAACAAGGUUUCCGUAGGUGAACCUGCGGAAGGAUCAUUACUGAACUGUUAACACGAGUUGUUGCUGGUCCUCAAAUGGGGGCAUGUGCACGCUCUGUUUACAUACCCACUCACACCUGUGCACCCUCUGUAGUUCUGUGGUGUGGGGGACCCUGUCUUCCCACCGUGGUUCUAUGUCUUUACACACACACACAGUGAUAAAGUCUUAUGGAAUGUACAUCGCGUUUAACGCAAUACAAUACAACUUUCAGCAACGGAUCUCUUGGCUCUC
rnacentral:misc_RNA from 1 species